CGUUCCUUUGGGUAAAACAGAACACUAGGCUUAAGUCAUGUUACCAUAUACCUCAAUAUAUUCUAUACUCAGACUAUGUGUAUAAAUACAUAUGUACGUGCACAUAUGUGCUCACAUGUAUAAAGAGACAGUCAUCAUUAUGGAAAUGGUACGCAACAGCCAAACACACGACUGGCAGAUUCUGUCUCAGUUGUAGCUACACGACUCACAGAUGCUGGAGUGCUGGAGACGGUGCAGGGAUGAUUGGGAAAUGGGACUAAAGAGAAGAGUGCAACAAUGCCUUUCUUUGUCCCAGAGAUAAAAGAGCUGAAUGAACAGAACAGAGCAAAAUGAAGACUUUUAGACACACAAGACCUGAAAGAGCACCACCGACAACCUGUUCUAUAAUAGAUGCCAAAGAAAUUUCUUCAAGAAGAAAAAACAGGAUACCAGACAGGAAUCUGGGCCUACACAAAAAGGGAUGAGGAGCACCAGAAAUGGUAAAAAUUUGGGUAAAUAGAACAUAUUUUUACCUUAUUUUAUUUACUUUUUAUUUAAAGAUUUAUUUAUU